UGGGGGAUAUUGCACAAUGGGCGAAAGCCUGAUGCAGCGACGCCGCGUGGGGGAUGAAGGCUUUCGGGUUGUAAACCUCUUUCGCUAUCGAACAAGGCCCGCUUAGGGUGGGUUGAGGGUAGGUGGAGAAGAAGCGCCGGCUAACUACGUGCCAGCAGCCGCGGUAAUACGUAGGGCGCGAGCGUUGUCCGGAAUUAUUGGGCGUACAGGGCUUGUAGGCGGCUUGUUGCGCCUGCUGUGAAAACGCGGGGCUUAACUUCGCGCGUGAAGUGGGUACGGGCAGGCUUGAGUGUGGUAGGGGUGACUGGAAUUCCAGGUGUAGAGGUGGAAUGCGCAGAUAUCUGGAGGAACACCGAUGGCGAAGGCAGGUCACUGGGCCAUUACUGACGCUGAGGAGCGAAAGCAUGGGUAGAGAACAGG
rnacentral:rRNA from 1 species